AAGACUAUAGACCUGCGGAGUACCUGCGGAAGGAUCAUUGUCAAGUACCGCGACUCUUGUUCGCGGGUCGGGGGGCCCUUCGGGAGGCCCUGUCUGAACCCUAUGUCAUUGUCGCACCUCGCGUUUCCUCGGCGGGCUCGCCCGCCAACGAGGACCCCACACCAAACCCAUUGCAGUAUUGCAGUACACGUCUCACAAACAAUCAAUCAAAACUUUUAGCAAUGGAUCUCUAGAUCGGAA
rnacentral:misc_RNA from 1 species